rnacentral:pre_miRNA from 11 species
AUGGAGAAGAGGGAAAGGUUGAUCUGCAAGUAAUGUGUGGAAUGGUCGAGUCGGGAAGAAUGAAUUGUUUUUGUUCUUCCCAACACCGCCCAUUCCACUUAUUACUUGUGGUUUCCUCCCUUUCCCUUGAGCU